CGGCGACAAACAGCGUUUGUAGGGGAGAAAUCCACUACACUGUAAGAGGUAGUGUUUGUUGAUGUUCCCGAAGUGUAGUUGUGACGUAGCUUUUGAAAUUAAUAUUGGUCAACUUAAACACAAGAUAAGAGGUACUGUAGAGUAACUUAUGCCAAAUGGUACUUGAUUCACAAGGGCCCUGUGACGACAAGAAGCAGCGUCUGGCAAUAAUUACAUAUGGACUCUAUACAUGAAUAUAAAGAAACCCAUUUAAAUGUCAAGAACUAGACUUCUAAGUGAACUAGAUUUAAUAUUUGUGUAUUAAAAAAUGCAUUAACUAUUUUCUUGAAGUAAAACCUUCAACUGUGUAUGCUAGUGUGGAGAGGAAAAGUAAAGGUCUCAUUGAGAAUCUUUGCCUAUGUGGUCUGUACAGUACUUGUAUAAUAUUAUAAGAGCACAGUCACAAUACACCAUAGGUUUUCAUCCAUCUGCUGUGUACGGUAUAAAAAAAAAAACUCGUUAGCCAUGGGGGCGAUGGUAUUCAAGGUUUUCUGAGCAGUGUUCCUCGACCUGUUGCUGAAAGGUUGGUAGUUCUACAUCAGCCAUUUUUCAAAAUGACAUAUUUUUCAAGCUGCGAUCUUGUAAAAUGGUCACCAUCUUGUAAAAUAGUCGCCAUCUUGUAAAAUGGCUGCCAUCUUGUGAAAUAGUCGCCAUAUCCCGAAAACUUAAAAGCAAAAUAACUGCUAAAGUAUUAAUUGUAUCGAAAAAUAACUUCUAGUCAAAGUUGUUCCAAAUCAUUUAUAGUUCCCUAUUAGCUUAUGUGUUAUUAAUACGAUUUUGAAGGCUAUUGGGCACUGAUACGAUUAAGUUGUCAUGGGUCAGCCUGUUAGGUCCUUUAUAAUAGACCCGUAACCGUCCCAGUUAAAAGUUUCCAUAUUGUGGAUUUACUUCAUUAUACACAAGUGUCUUCCUUGCAUCAAAGGCUUCCAUAAGUCUGCAAAGAAAAAUUAUGAAGUUGGUUGAGUAUUUCGCCAGGUGUAUUUUAGUUACCUCGUGCCUUCAGGAUUUCUGGAAAAAUGCAGAAGACUACCACAAAGUCCUCAGGCUGUGUGGGAGACUGACGAGGCAGGCAAUGUUCCUGCUGAGACAGCCGAAGAGUAUUAGGCAUUUGCUAAGAGUUCCAUUUCCUGACCACAAAGUACAGGUAAGGGGCCAGAAUCACUAACACUGCUGAGAUACAAAGUUCAUAACUGGCAGAGAGGAGUCAGUGGCGGCUAAAAUCAGUUCCAUUUAUACUGGUGUGUGGCCCUCUGAAUGUAGGGAAUUUGGACUAUUUUCGAGAUGACCUGCCAUCACUUGCUGGAGUCUUGGAUGCUGAAGUAAACUGGAGUAAAGUUUGGACGGCAAAUAACAAAACACCAUUAUCCAUUCACAAAACCAUAAAUAAUAUGAGCACUAUCAGGAAAGUUCUUUAAUUUGAUAUUUGGCUUUGCUAUCCCGGGAAGGGGUUCAGUACUGGGUUCACACCUUGCAGACGACAGGGUGAGAAGGUCGGCCGUGUCGCAGUCACUCGUUAUUUAAAAAAAGAUAUCUUUGUACUCCUUGACGUCUCUGAUACAAGAUGAUGAUAAUAUUGUUGAUACAGAUUGUGAACUACAUCAGAAGAAAAGUACUCGAGCGGCUGGGAAUGCACAAGAGAAGAGCACUGACAACUAAAUAUCGAUAGUAGAGUCCAGGCACUGUUAAAUAACAAUUAAGUGAGACAAACUAAGACGAGUGCUUUUGUCAUACUUCAACUUAUUCGUGAUAAUUAUGAAUUGCUGGCUAUCUACCCCAAUGGGCGUGUCUUUCAGCAGUCAAGGAAGGAGUGCCCGUACCAUGGCCCUGGGCUGUGCCAAACUACGCCACUGGGUCCUCUUUGCCCAGUGCCAACUGUUACAGCCUCUCCCCAGCUGUGCACCAAGGGUUAGGGUGCACCAUAUUUGACCCCACUGGGUCAGGGUGCUCCAUAUUUCACCCCACUGGAUAAAGGAUGCAUUAUAUUUGAUCCAGUGAUGCAGUUGGACUUGGGAGUUUAAGUCAUUGAUUUGAUCUGGGUUUGGUGGACAAGGAGCUGUGUAGUAAUGUACUGUACAGUACAGUAUAUUCAUUCAUUGGGAAAUGUAAUCUUUUCAACAUGUGAGAGCCCUGUGGACAAGGCAGGCCCUGCCAGGGGGUGUUGUAUAGUAGUUAGCAGAGUCUCACAGGUUACUCAUCUCAUGCUUUUGGCAAAAACAUGGGAUCUCAUGCUAUGUGCAUGUAUAACCUUGAUAAGAGGAAGAGAUAAUGAGAGGAUUUAUUUAUUUAUUUAUUUAUUUGAACAGAAAAAAAAGGUUGUUUCCUCUGUUUAAUUUUGUGCUUUUUAAGGUUUGACACAACUACAUGUAGCAAGUUUAGAAGAAAUUAGGUUAAUUUAAUCUGGUCCCAAUUUCAGUCAAGUUUGGAUGAAUAUGGAGUAGCUGAGAUUGUGUUAAAUUAUUAUUUUUUAGGUGAGGUUGAAGUAGGCCAGAUAGCUUAGUUACAUUAAUGAGAUGACUGUACAUGAAUUAGAUUCAGGUUUAAUUAGUUUGGUUUGAGAAAAUAGAUUUUGGUGAGUGGAUUUUAUUGUUCAAAAAUAGAUUUGAGAUUGAUAGAUUGAUUUAAGUAUUGAUAACCAGUGUGGUGUUCUGUUAUACAUCUAAUUUUAUAAAGUAUAACUGUAGUUGAAUUUAAGUGUUUCUGUUUACGUUCAUGUUUUAGAUUGGUUUGAGGAACAACACUGGUAUUUCGCACUGGAUUGGGUUUGCUUAUUUUAGUUUAAGUAUGGCAUAUUUCACUUUAUUUUCUGGCAACUAGUAAAAUAAGUUUGCCCUGAGGAAGGAAUGUUAAGAUAUUCAGGAUGGAGAUUCUUACCUAUAAAACCAUUUACUGUACAGUGCAGUAAUCAUGUACUGUACAUAAAGUCACUAUUUUUAUUUAUCUUUAUUGAAAAAGAUGAAGGUGUUACUUUUACUUAACAUUUAUCUUCUGAUCGGCCUGUUAGCCGCUUGGGUGGUCAGUCAUACUCUUAUCUUCUUCGCCACUGAUCGGCUGGUUAGCCGCUUGGGCGAUCGGUCACAUCUCUGUUACACACUGUUGGCAAGUACUGGGCAUGUACUGGCUCUUGAAUGUAUUUGAACCUGCUCCAGUGUUGGUCAAGUCUGGUCUUGAAAGAGCUCACACACUCUGGCAGAUUGUUCCAAGAGUUGACAAUUAUCUCUCUUAAAAAGUUUGCCAUCACAGUUUUCUGUUGUCUUUCCUUGUCCAGAUCAUAAUUCAUGUAUCUGUACAAUUAUAAACAUAUACAGGUACUGUAAAUUGUGGUCACCACUAGGUAAAGUAAAAUUGGGUCCCACUCUCAUAGCCAUGGCAAGGUGCAGUGUGGAUACAGCACAUUGAAGACUUAUAAUACAUUAUACACAUAUCCUGUAUUUAUGGUAAUGAAGGUGAGCUUCAGGAUUUAAUAAUACAGUAUAGAGAUGUAGUGUAUUCUCUGUGUGUAAGGAAAGCCUUCGGUGAUGCAGAGGUUUGUACAGGUAGAAUGAUGAGAAGUAUAACAUCACUUGUGUGUCAUGAUGAAAGGCCCAGCAAGAGGCUUUAUUUAUUACAUGUUUGUAAUGAUGACCUCUAAAGUAUAGGGUUAUAACUUGUCUUUUAUGUAAUGAAGGGUUAGGAAAAGGUUUGCAAACAAAAUAAUGAAUGGGGAUAUUAAAAGAAUUAAAUGGGUCAGUUAUAAUGAGCCGUGCAGACUCCCAAAUUUGUUUGCAGUAGUUACGGUAGUUUUAACUCAUAACUAAUCCAAAAUAUACUGUAUAGUGCAUUAACAUAUACUAGUUGAGUGAAUUAGAGUCUUAUGCCUUAUCCUAUUCUCCACUAAGUCAGCUUUUUAGCUGAUUGGGUGGUCAGUCAAUUUGCUUGUGUAUUUUUGGCAUGUACAGUACUGUACUGGAUAAAAACAGGUUGUUGGAUGUAUCUGAAUACAUUCUAGUGCUGGGUUAUCCUGCACUUUAAAAAAAGUUAAAUCUUGGUAUUGUUACAGCAUUAGAUGGCAUGUUAACCCUCUAGUUCAUAGCUGAAAAAGUUAACUCAGUGACCUCUACUGCAGUACAGUAGCCUUCAGCUAAAUCCAGGUACUGUAUGCAUGUCUUUACUGGGAAUAAUGAAGAUGCAUAAUGAGGUGAAAAUGCCCUACGAUUUUUUUGUCAUUGUCAUUGAUUACCUUAUUAGUGGUUUUAAUUAUUUGUCUUGUGCUUUAUGUCAACUAUAUGGAAAUUAGCUUAAUACACACCUCAAGAGGAGGAACUAUACCUGGUGACUCACACUGGCCACAUGUAGUAGCACCACCUUAACUUUCUUUAUUAUUGUGUGUGUAUUGGGUAAUUACCCCCCCCCCCUAAAAAAAACUGACUGUACACCAUUAAUAAACCACAGUUGAAGGGCAUACGUUAUGAAUACUUAACAAAAUGGUAAAGUCUUGUGAGGCCACACAGUUAGAUAGCCCAUGUUGCACUGUAUGCUACUGAUGUAAAUUCUAGAUAGAGUAUUUGGUAAAUGAAGUGGGUCUUCUGUCGGAAUAAUAAAUUUUCAUUUAAAAAACAGUAAAUAAACAUGUGAUUGAUCUACAGGUUGUACUUCUCUAGUCCGGCAUUCUGUGGUCCGAAAACUACCGUGGUCCGGAACGAUUUUAGUUUUCCCAAUAGCCAACAUCCCUGAUGUAACUCAAAUUACAUUUGAGUUACAGUACCAUCCCUUCACUUUGGAAGCAGAAUUAUGGUAGCAUUAAAGUUGCAGGUGAAAUAGUCUCCAACUUGUCCUAACCAUUAGGAUUGUCACCACCUAGGAUACUGACUUGACUGGAUCAGGAGCUUCAAGUUUGGGAUCCAAUAUCAGUCAUGUUCUUCCCUUUGAGCGUGACUUUAAUGAUACUGUGAUGAAGUCCCUUACUGACAAGACAAGACAAAAAGAAACAUCAGGAUUGCAUAAAAAUCUACUGUACUUACUUCGGCUGAACACAGCACUAAGAGUCAAGUUAAUAUCAGUUUCUGCAAAUUUAGCAAAGGUACAGAACUGAGGUCACCCUAUGAAAAGCAAGACAACAUUGGAAACACCAAGAAAUGAAUGAGUGAAAUUUUCAUAUGAGACAAAGUCAAGAACCUUGUGAUGCUGUAAAAUCUCACUGAAAUACUGUAUUGUAUUCAUAUUAGUAGAUGAUAAGGAGUCAGCAUUAUGCCGGUAGGUUCUUUCAAGUCAUCACCAGAAGUAGUAGUAGUUAACCACCUCUCUCAGGGGUGAAACCUGGACUCUUUCUCUGACUUAACAGUGGAUUAUAUAUAUACUGUGCAGUAUGUACAGUAUUGUAUGCUGUGAUGGAAGAAUUGAUAUAACGAUGACAGUAGUUAGUUUAAUUCAUAUAGCACCUCAUAUAUACUGUAUAUUCAGUGAUUUUCUAGCUUAAACAUAGUACAGUACAGUAGAGGUAUGUUGAGUAGUGAGGUAUUCUGUUGAGCUAUAUAUUGUACCCCAUAGGUAUUG